rnacentral:rRNA from 1 species
UACGUAGGGUGCGAGCGUUGUCCGGAAUUACUGGGCGUAAAGAGCUCGUAGGUGGUUUGUCGCGUUGUUCGUGAAAACUCACAACUCAAUUGUGGGCGUGCGGGCGAUACGGGCAGACUGGAGUACUGCAGGGGAGACUGGAAUUCCUGGUGUAGCGGUGGAAUGCGCAGAUAUUAGGAGGAACACCGGUGGCGAAGGCGGGUCUCUGGGCAGUAACUGACGCCGAGGAGCGAAAGCGUGGGGAGCGAACAGG